CCAUUUGUGCUUGGAUUUAUGCCACUGUCGUGUAUCGGUGAAUUCUGAGGCGGUGAGGGUUGUUGGACAGAUUUACCAUCGUUGGAAGAGCCACAAACUGCUGAUAAGGAUUUUCUCAACAAAAUUGGUUGGUUCAUUAAUCUGUAUAAGAGAAGCAAUUUAUCUCAUGGAAUUCGAAGACAGGGAGGGCAAAAGAAGAAAAUGAAGGCAUGCAUGUUAUUAGCUCGAGGAUAGAGGAACAAAUUAUUGAAAGAGAAAAAAAACUUGUUAUUAUAGAGGGAAGAAAAUCUCAAGGAGAUGAUUCGGAAAUGAUUCAAGAAAUGGAAUAUACAAAUCAUUUAUAUCUAGGAAAAUUUGAUCUUUAUAGUUU